rnacentral:siRNA from 1 species
GACCGUGUCCGAGGAGUGGUCGAG